CCCUCCUCCUGUGGGACUCGCUGAGCUGGACGGAGGAGUGAGAGAGAGAGAGGGAGAGAGAGUGUGAGUGAGUGCGGAGCACGAGCGAGGAGCAACUUCGGGACUCGAACUGAUAACUGAUGAACGGGCUCCAAACCGAGUGCCGCGCAGCGCGUUCACGCUCGACCGGAAGAGGACGUAUCCGCCCGUGAAACGAUGACUUUCUGAGCGCUUCGUCCUCCGCCUGGCGCUCGUGCCCGCGCAGCUCCCAGAAGACCUCGAUGAGCGAGCGCGCUGCCUGUCGCACGGCGUCUCGCGCAGCCAGUAUCUCGACUCGCGCAGCACCUCGCGCCGCGUCCCAGCGCGAUAAGAGAAGCGCGAUCUUCUCGCCCGGGGCAACAUGAUGAUGAUGAUGAUGAUGAAGAAGUUGAGGAGGUUCGUGCAUCGCGGAGCCGCGGCGGCCUGCUGCUAAUUAUAUCUAUGGAUACAUUAAUAGAUACGUGAUUAUAUGUCAAUAAAAUGUAUAAUAAAGUGUAGCGGAGGCGUCGAGCCUGAGGAUCCGUGUUUAUUUACCGCUCAAUGUUUCAUGUUCUAGGAUUUGUGUCCUUCUGCUGCUCGUGGCGGGAUCGGCGCACGGGGGUGCGAAGAACCAGGAGCCCUGUGCAGGAGUCGACUGCAGCCGGGGGUGCGUCUGUAACCCGGAGAAGGGCGCCGCGGGUCAGCCGGGGCCUCUGGGACCCCAGGGGGUGGAGGGACCCCAAGGGUUUGCGGGAAGUGCAGGACCCCAAGGGCCCAAGGGUGAAAAAGGCCAUAUGGGAAUCAGAGGUCCAUCUGGUCCCAAAGGAGACAAAGGUCCAAUGGGUGUGCCCGGUUUCCCAGGAGCGGAUGGCGUACCAGGCUACCCUGGACAGAGCGGAGGAAGAGGACCUAAAGGACCGGACGGGUGCAACGGCACCGCCGGCGACCCGGGUCCGAGGGCGCAGGACGGGUUCCCGGGCCGGCCGGGCCCGCCGGGUCCGAGGGGUCCGAAGGGUCAGAAAGGAGAAGCGGUCUAUGCGGGAAGUGGCCAAGGCGGGGAGCCUGGUUUACCAGGGCUGGACGGCCUCUUUGGUCCUCGUGGUCCAACUGGGCUUCCGGGUUUCGUUGGUCCCAGAGGUCCGGACGGCCUUGCUGUACGUGCUUCGCUCGCUCUCGUCGCCGCUACCUCUACCCCCACCCCCACCCACCUUGUGUGUUCCCAGCGUUUUCUAA
rnacentral:lncRNA from 1 species